GACGAAUUCGAAUUAUAAAUAUUAAAUUGUACAUUAUAACCAAAGUUUUAUUGUUUAAUAUGCUGUGAAAUAAAUAUGGAAAACAUAUGUAGAAUAUGGCAAUUAUUUUCUCAAUCUCGAGUUGAAUCAAAUUUACGAGAUACUAAAAUCCCCAGAGAAAAUGCAAGCACUGCAGUCAGCAAAAUACUCUUAUUCUUCAUGAGAAUCCCCAUUGCCUUAUCUACUACCGAAUCCGAACUCGGAUCUGCUCCCCAUUUUUCUAUAGUCUCUCUUCCAAAUUCAUCUACGCUGGAACCUUUCUUGCUCUCUUUCUUCUUUUUUCUCUCUUCUUCUUCAUUCAUUUUUUCGCUUGACCUCUCACGGGCUUCUGAAGGCUUUUCUUGCUCACUAUCUUUCUUAACGCCACCCUCAAUAUUAUUAUUUUCCCUCUCAUUCUUUGAUUCUUUCCUCUGUACUUGCUUUGGAAGAUUUACAUAGAGAAUAUCACCGUCAAAUUUUCCGGUGAUCUUGUCGAUAUCUGAAUUUUCUGGUGCUUUAAAUUUCUUCUCGAAAUAUAUAUAUUUGUUGUUGUUGGCUAGCCUUUCUCCACUCACUGUUAUCUGACCUGACCUAGUAUCAACUUGAAGCUUCACUUCCUCCUUCCUAAAAUCAGGAAGAUCGACAAGGAGAUAAUGGCUAUGAGAGUCCUCUGUCCAAGCAGCAGAAGGUACGAACUCUUCAACUACAUGAUCUUGGGAGCGUGUUCUCUUUCCAGUAAUAUUAGCCAUAGAUGAGCGUAUGAGAUCGAAUGAACAAAAGAGACGUGUUUUCUAUAUCUGCAGGUUGAUGUUGCUAUAUAAUUGACAAGAAAAAUACAUGCAGAAUCGUCCAUAUAUAUAUAUAGAGAGAGCUGUUAAUUAUUGGUAAAGCAUUUCUG
rnacentral:misc_RNA from 1 species